rnacentral:rRNA from 1 species
UACUCGAGUGGCGAACGGGUGAGUAACACGUGGGUGAUCUGCCCUGCACUUCGGGAUAAGCUUGGGAAACUGGGUCUAAUACCGGAUAGGAGCCAUCUUUAGUGUGGUGGUUGGAAAGUUUUUUAGGUGUAGGAUGAGCUCGCGGCCUAUCAGCUUGUUGGUGGGGUAAUGGCCUACCAAGGCGGCGACGGGUAGCCGGCCUGAGAGGGUGUACGGCCACAUUGGGACUGAGAUACGGCCCAG